UGCAAGUCGAGCGAACGGACGAGAAGCUUGCUUCUCUGAUGUUAGCGGCGGACGGGUGAGUAACACGUGGAUAACCUACCUAUAAGACUGGGAUAACUUCGGGAAACCGGAGCUAAUACCGGAUAAUAUUUUGAACCGCAUGGUUCAAAAGUGAAAGACGGUCUUGCUGUCACUUAUAGAUGGAUCUGCGCUGCAUUAGCUAGUUGGUAAGGUAACGGCUUACCAAGGCAACGAUGCAUAGCCGACCUGAGAGGGUGAUCGGCCACACUGGAACUGAGACACGGUCCAGACUCCUACGGGAGGCAGCAGUAGGGAAUCUUCCGCAAUGGGCGAAAGCCUGACGGAGCAACGCCGCGUGAGUGAUGAAGGUCUUCGGAUCGUAAAACUCUGUUAUUAGGGAAGAACAUAUGUGUAAGUAACUGUGCACAUCUUGACGGUACCUAAUCAGAAAGCCACGGCUAACUACGUGCCAGCAGCCGCGGUAAUACGUAGGUGGCAAGCGUUAUCCGGAAUUAUUGGGCGUAAAGCGCGCGUAGGCGGUUUUUUAAGUCUGAUGUGAAAGCCCACGGCUCAACCGUGGAGGGUCAUUGGAAACUGGAAAACUUGAGUGCAGAAGAGGAAAGUGGAAUUCCAUGUGUAGCGGUGAAAUGCGCAGAGAUAUGGAGGAACACCAGUGGCGAAGGCGACUUUCUGGUCUGUAACUGACGCUGAUGUGCGAAA
rnacentral:rRNA from 1 species